GAUGAACGCUAGCGGCAGGCUUAACACAUGCAAGUCGAGGGGUAUAGGUUUUCGGACCUAGAGACCGGCGCACGGGUGCGUAACGCGUAUGCAAUCUACCUUUUGCAGAGGGAUAGCCCCAGAGAAAUUUGGAUUAAUACCUCAUAGUAUAUGGACUUCGCAUGGAGACCAUAUUAAAGUUCCAACGGCAAAAGAUGAGCAUGCGUCCCAUUAGCUAGAUGGUAAGGUAACGGCUUACCAUGGCUACGAUGGGUAGGGUCCUGAGAGGGAGAUCCCCCCACACUGGUACUGAGACACGGACCAGACUCCUACGGGAGGCAGCAGUGAGGAAUAUUGGACAAUGGGCGCAAGCCUGAUCCAGCCAUGCCGCGUGCAGGAUGACGGUCUAUGGAUUGUAAACUGCUUUUACACAGGAAGAAACAACGCUACGUGUAGCGUCUUGACGGUACUGUAAGAAUAAGCAACCGGCUAAACUACGUGCCAG
rnacentral:rRNA from 1 species